rnacentral:tRNA from 1 species
AGAAGUUUAGGUUAACAUAAGACCAAGGGCCUUCAAAGCCCUUAGUGGGGGUGGGAAUCCCUCAGCUUCUG